rnacentral:misc_RNA from 1 species
GGAAGUAAUCGUAACAAGGUCUCCGUAGGUGAACCUGCGGAGGGAUCAUUACAGAGUUCUCGCCCUCGCGGGUAGAUCUCCCACCCACUGUUAUCGUUACUGUGUUGCUUUGGCGGGCCGCCGGGCCCCGCUCGGCCGCCGGCUCCGGCUGGCGCGCGCCCGCCAGAGGCCCAGCAAACUCUGAAUGUUAGUGUCGUCUGAGUACUAUAUAAUAGUUAAAACUUUCAACAACGGAUCUCUUGGUUCUG